UAGAAAACGAAGAAGAGGAAUAGUAGCUGAUGCGUGGAUCAUAGAAAGCUGCUGGCUGAUGGAAAGCAGUAGAAGCAAAUGAGUGAACUCGCCUCGGAGUUGCCGGUUGAAAGAAAAGUAGACUUGGACGGAAUCCCACCGUUAUAAGGGAAAGGUAUUGACAGUAGUAACAAGAUGUACCUGUGAGAGCAUGUUUUAUUUGAAUUAGAGUGGUACCGCGUGAGUAUUCUCCGUCUCUAUG
rnacentral:ncRNA from 1 species